UGGGGAAUAUUGGACAAUGGGCGCAAGCCUGAUCCAGCCAUGCCGCGUGAGUGACGAAGGCCUUAGGGUUGUAAAGCUCUUUUGGCGGGGAAGAUAAUGACGGUACCCGCAGAAUAAGCUCCGGCUAACUUCGUGCCAGCAGCCGCGGUAAUACGAAGGGAGCUAGCGUUGUUCGGAAUCACUGGGCGUAAAGCGCACGUAGGUGGGCAGUUAAGUCAGGGGUGAAAGCCCGAGGCUCAACCUCGGAACUGCCUUCAAAACUGGCGACCUGGACCCAAGUAGAGGCAAGUGGAAUUGCGAGUGUAGAGGUGAAAUUCGUAGAUAUUCGCAGGAACACCAGUGGCGAAGGCGACUUGCUGGACUUGUGGUGACGCUGAGACGCGAAAGCGUGGGGAGCAAACAGGAUUAGAUACCCGCGUAGUCCCUGAGCGGGCUGGCAAGGCGCAU
rnacentral:rRNA from 1 species